rnacentral:rRNA from 1 species
GUGCCAGCCGCCGCGGUAAUACGUAGGUCCCGAGCGUUGUCCGGAUUUAUUGGGCGUAAAGCGAGCGCAGGCGGUUAGAUAAGUCUGAAGUUAAAGGCUGUGGCUUAACCAUAGUACGCUUUGGAAACUGUUUAACUUGAGUGCAAGAGGGGAGAGUGGAAUUCCAUGUGUAGCGGUGAAAUGCGUAGAUAUAUGGAGGACACCGGUGGCGAAAGCGGCUCUCUGGCUUGUAACUGACGCUGAGGCUCGAAAGCGUGGGGAGCAAACAGGAUUAGAUA